UUGCAGUGCAGUUUUGGCUCCAAUUUAUGGAGCCCAAAUUUGAUUUUUGAAUCUGUUAACUCAAUUUUUACCAUCUAUAAAUAGUAGAUAUUUAGCUGCUAAAUUUUCAUUUCCUCUUCUUUUAGAUUUGUAUUAUUAUUCUAUCAAAUUUUUUCGAAAAAUCUUCUGUUAUUUUUGUUGAAGAAAGCUUUGUUCUUUUAAAAAAAUAUACUUUCAAAAGUCAAUUUUUAGAUUGUUGAAGUCUAAACUUUCUCUGCAGAUGAGAUUUGAAUCUGUUAAUGGAGGGCGAAUCUCAGAUCUACAGCAACAAAAAAGAGCAUGAAUGAAUCUCUCAAAUGUAUAUUCAUGAUUUAUAGGAAACAUAGAUUGUAGAUGUAUUUUUGUAAUAAGUUGGCAUCAAAGAUUUUGUAUUUUUGUAUUUUUGCAGUAUUUAUCAACUGAUUCUGUAUUUUUGUUGUUUUUGUAUUUAACUGAUUCUGUAAAUCAUUUGCACAACAAAAUAGUGCAAAUGGGAAAGAACAUAACUUAGAAACCUAAAAUUUCUUGAAAUAAAAGCAACAAAAAAAAUGCAGAAAAUAGAAACAAAAUAUGCAAUUAGUACGAGAAUUUCGAAAAGAGAACUCCUCCACACACCUUUUUUUCUUCUUUUCUUCGACAGCAGGGGCAGUUGCAGCGGCACCUGUAGCACCGCCAGUAGGAGCGCAACUGCAACGAGAGCAGCAACUACAACGACCUGUGAUUUUGAAGGUGCGAGGGGCGGCGAGAUGGUAGUCACAGCAGCGACAGUCAAUUAGGGAGUGAAGGGAGUUGGGUGUUAAGGAUUCAAGUUUAGGUUUUUUAAAUUAGCAUUGUAAUUGAAUAAAAUUGAGAUAGCAAACCUCGGGUAGCAAAACGAGAGGUAGCAAGGCCGAAAAUUACAGAUGGAAGGCGUGGAGAUGGUGACUGCGGCGGCGGCGUAGCGACGGAGGCGGCGCUGCAUGUGCAGCCUCGCCGUGCGCGCUGAGUGAUAGAAGGGGGUAGACAGGGAGCGAGAGGUGAGACGGAGGAGAUGCCUGUGGCGUAGGUGGUCGAAGACGGCGCCCUUCGCCGGAGGAGGAAGCGGUAGGGGAUGUGUGUGCGUAUCUGUGAGAUUGAGAGAGAGUGAGAGUA
rnacentral:lncRNA from 1 species